UAAAGCCUCGAUAUGCAGGAGACGUUCGUUUCCAGAUGUAUACAUUCUGAACUUUCCUCACAAACACAUUUCUGCGCACCAAAACCGCAGGGAAAGGGCUUUUAUUGCUCGGUUGCAUGUAGUAUACUUGCUCCAUGACUUCACUGGGGUGUAUCGUAUCACCAAGUCUGAAUGGGAUGUGCAGGGUGGAUUCCUCGUAAUGGAUACGCCGGAGAGGAAAAGUUGUUUCAAAACAGCAUUUGAAGUUCACCUGAUGACACAUUCUCUUCACAGGCCCUUGUCGACCUCUGCCUACUGUCACAGCCUAUGGAAAUGUGACAAGAAAACACUGAGACGAAGCAGUAAUCAAGGCUAGGGGACCGCUGUCAUGAGUGAAGCAUAAAUUCGAAGUGAAUUGUGUUUUGACGAGCAAAGAACUGAGGAAAAAAACAGGCCAUAAUGGAGUUUUGACACCAUUGUGAGAAAUGCUUCCAUUAAAACAUGGCCUCACAGAAUCCCUGCUGCUCUUCAUUUGAUUCGUAUGACUAAAAUGUUUAUGGGAGACACUGAGUCACACUUUCAUUUUGUGGAAAAACACACAGGAAAAGAAAAAAGAGGAUGCCUGGCCAACUCGAAUGCCUUCAGACAGGGUUAUAAAGUCCUCUGCAUCCAAUAACAUUAGCAGGCUGUCCGUAUGCCGAGGGUUUGGCUUUAAUAAAUGAUGAUAAAUGAAGAGAAGGAUGACUAACUUUGCACUCAGAUGGCUAACAUAUGAUUCGUUUUACAAAUCCCCCCAAAAAAAGGAUUUGUCAUGAAUUCCAAAACAAGAGUACUGAAGGACCUGAUAGAGAGUGUCGUGAAUGCUACGUUGCAUUACCAUCGUCGAUUCCUUAACAACAAAACAGCGCAAAACAUAAUUUUUUAAACAAACAUUAAGUAAAGCGAUAUCUUUCGUCUCGUCGUCAAACGUCUGAGGGGUAUAACUCACUGCUCACAGAAAGAUUGAUCUAUAAAUAGAGAAGCGUACCAUGGUAACACUCCCUGCCAAGUCUCGGUUACACGACUCGCAACUUUUUAUAGGCCGCAAAAACUUCCUGUUGCUGUGGAUACAAUGCAGAAGAAUAGUCCAGGAUUUGGAUGGAAAACAGCUUCAAAGCUCCAGUCCCCAUUCCUUCCAACUCUAUGGAAAAAAUAAGCACUACAUUCUAAUGAAUUUGUCCCAGUACCAGGUUCCUCUGCAUUUACCGGCAUGACGAAUGACCCAUCACAUGAUGACUAUGCUAUUUACAAAAUUACAAGCUAGCUGAAAUUCUGUCUCACCAAACGGCUGCUCUGGGCCUGAAUAAUUGAUCAGAUAUUGAAAAGCUCUAAUAAAAGGAGGCAGCCUGUUAUGCAGUCGACAUUCUUGUCUUCGGCUGCUACAGACACAUCUCUAAUACAUGAAGGAAAAGGCUGAUUAGGCAGAAGAGUGCAAAUGUUGUUCCUUAUUUUUAUCCCACCAGGAGAGCAGAAUUUGAAAUAGAAGAUUAGGUUACCGUGGUGCAAUCUGUCAUGCUAAGAGAACACGCCCAACCGGUGCCAUCGCCAACUAGUUAAGAGCUCCCUGCAGCAUGGAGUAACACGAUCAGAACAAAACAGCAUAUUUAUGACAUACUGUAAACAGCGUAAUGCGCAAAUAUAAACAAAACUUUUCUCAUUUUCUCAAAUAAAGACAUUAAAAGACGUUCGGUACAAAAGAGUCUGGCUUUCACAAAAAGAAUAAACGGAUAGGCCACAACACAAAAUGAUAAACACUGAAUUAAAGAUUACCGAGCCAUGCCACCUCGCAAAAACAAAGCCUGUCAGAGGUCAGUGUCUCUUAAAAAAAAUCGUACGAUUUGACUUUAUUACAUGAUUUAGUUUGGAAAAUGCACUUUUGAGGAGGGUUUUUAUUGUUAACUAAAAACCAUCAUGAAACUGUGCUAGUUCAAUAAAAUACUAAUCACUUCAAAUUAGAUAAACUACAAUAAAGAUUUGCUAAAAUAAAAAAAAAUUGAAAGCUUGAGUUACCAAGGCUAGCUGUCGUCGUCUUUCAGAACUAAAACUGAAACUAAAUAGAAACUUAGAAAUUACAAAAGGGGACUAGUAAUUGAUUAAAUUAAAAUAACAAAAUCUAUAAAAGUAAUUCAAAGAUACUAAGACAUUUUAUUAUUUAGUACU